CUGUCUACUACCAAAUUCGUCGGCCAUCACUCCUCUCCCGGCAAUGGUACGACCAAGGAAGAGCUGGCCGGGCCUUUCCCCUGCUGCCGACGGCCCCAAUCUCACCCGCGCGGCAGAGAUGAACCGCUCGGUGCCCCGGCUUCCUGCCUGCUUCUACAACAGCGGCAACCUCUGGAUCCUCUCCGACAGCAACGUCUAGGACACCUCACCGGUGGGCACUCGACGACCAUUCACCCCCCUGCUCGUGCUUCACCCACAACAAGCACAUUCAGUUCUCUCAACACUGGAUCUUCACCAUCGUUCGCUGAACUGCUGCACAGUUCUGAUGGUUUUAUGCGAUACAUGGUGGAAGAGCAACCACAAAACUGCUCAGAGAAUGAACACCUAGUUGGAGCAACAUCACAUGUUAUUCAGAUUGAUGAUAAACCUGAUGAAAUUAGGAAGGAGACAAGACUAAUAUGGAAAUCAGAUGAAGAUGUUAGAGUGAUGAGUGCUUGGCUGAAGCAUUCCAUUGAUUCAUUGAGUGGAAACAAUAAAAAGGAGAUAAGUAUUGGGAGGAUGUGGUGA
rnacentral:misc_RNA from 1 species